GACGAACGCUGGCGGCGUGCUUAACACAUGCAAGUCGAACGGAAAGGCCCUGCUUUUGUGGGGUGCUCGAGUGGCGAACGGGUGAGUAACACGUGAGUAACCUGCCCUUGACUUUGGGAUAACUUCAGGAAACUGGGGCUAAUACAGGAUAGGAGCUCCUGCUGCAUGGUGGGGGUUGGAAAGUUUCGGCGGUUGGGGAUGGACUCGCGGCUUAUCAGCUUGUUGGUGGGGUAGUGGCUUACCAAGGCUUUGACGGGUAGCCGGCCUGAGAGGGUGACCGGCCACAUUGGGACUGAGAUACGGCCCAGACUCCUACGGGAGGCAGCAGUGGGGAAUAUUGCACAAUGGGCGGAAGCCUGAUGCAGCAACGCCGCGUGCGGGAUGACGGCCUUCGGGUUGUAAACCGCUUUCGCCUGUGACGAAGCGUGAGUGGCGGUAAUGGGUAAAGAAGCACCGGCUAACUACGUG
rnacentral:rRNA from 1 species